GACGAACGCUGGCGGCGUGCUUAACACAUGCAAGUCGAACGGAAAGGCCUCUUUCGGGGGGUACUCGAGUGGCGAACGGGUGAGUAACACGUGAGUAACCUGCCCUUGACUUUGGGAUAACUUCAGGAAACUGGGGCUAAUACCGGAUAGGAGCUCCUGCUGCAUGGUGGGGGUUGGAAAGUUUCGGCGGUUGGGGAUGGACUCGCGGCUUAUCAGCUUGUUGGUGGGGUAGUGGCUUACCAAGGCUUUGACGGGUAGCCGGCCUGAGAGGGUGACCGGCCACAUUGGGACUGAGAGACGGCCCAGACUCCUACGGGAGGCAGCAGUGGGGAAUAUUGCACAAGGGGUGGAAGCCUGAUGCAGCAACGCCGUGUGCGGGAUGACGGCCUUAGGGUUGUAAACCGCUUUCGCUCAUGACGAAGCUUUGUGUGACGGUAGUGGGUAAAGAAGCACCGGCUAACUACGUG
rnacentral:rRNA from 1 species